rnacentral:rRNA from 1 species
UACGUAGGGCGCAAGCGUUGUCCGGAAUUAUUGGGCGUAAAGAGCUCGUAGGCGGCUUGUCACGUCGGGUGUGAAAGCCCGGGGCUUAACCCCCGGGUCUGCAUUCGAUACGGGCUAGCUAGAGUGUGGGUAGGGGAGAUCGGAAUUCCUGGUGGUAGCGGUGAAAUGCGCAGAUAUCAGGAGGAACACCGGUGGCGAAGGCGGAUCUCUGGGCCAUUACUGACGCUGAGGAGCGAAAGCGUGGGGAGCGAACAGG